rnacentral:rRNA from 1 species
UCCGGUUGAUCCUGCCGGACCCGACUGCUAUCAGAGUGGGACUAAGCCAUGCGAGUCAACGCAGCAAUGCGUGGCAUACGGCUCAGUAACACGUAGUCAACAUGCCCAGGGGACGUGGAUAACCUCGGGAAACCGAGGAUAAACCGCGAUAGGCCAAGGUUCUGGAAUGGACACUGGCUGAAAUCUACAUGGCCUCUGGAUUGGACUGCGGCCGAUCAGGCUGUUGGUGAGGUAAUGGCCCACCAAACCUGUAACCGGUACGGGCUUUGAGAGAAGGAGCCCGGAGAUGGGCACUGAGACAAGGGCCCAGGCCCUAUGGGGCGCAGCAGGCGCGAAACCUCUGCAAUAGGCGAAAGCUUGACAGGGUUACUCUGAGUGAUGCCCGCUAAGGGCAUCUUUUGGCACCUCUAAAAAUGGUGCAGAAUAAGGGGUGGGCAAGUCUGGUGUCAGCCGCCGCGGUAAUACCAGCACCCCGAGUGGUCGGGACGAUUAUUGGGCCUAAAGCAUCCGUAGCUUGUUCUGCAAGUCCUCCGUUAAAUCCACCUGCUCAACAGAUGGGCUGCGGGGGAUACUACAGGGCUAGGAGGCGGGAGAGGCAAGCGGUACUCAGUGGGUAGGGGUAAAAUCCUCUGAUCCACUGAAGACCACCAGUGGCGAAGGCGGCUUGCCAGAACGCGCUCGACGGUGAGGGAUGAAAGCUGGGGGAGCAAACCGGAUUAGAUACCCGGGUAGUCCCAGCUGUAAACGAUGCAGACUCGGUGAUGGGUUGGCUUCGCGCCAACCCAGUGCCGCAGGGAAGCCGUUAAGUCUGCCGCCUGGGGAGUACGGUCGCAAGACUGAAACUUAAAGGAAUUGGCGGGGGAGCACCACAAGGGGUGAAGCCUGCGGUUCAAAUGGAUUCAACGCC